rnacentral:lncRNA from 1 species
CUGGGGUGCAAAGGAGCAAAAUAAAUAAAUACAGUAGGGGAAGAGGUAGUUGUUUGGCUAUUUAUAGAUGGGCUAUGUACAGUGCAGUGAUCUGUGAGCUGCUCUGACAGCUGGUGCUUAAAGCUAGUGAGGGAGAUAAGUGUAUCCCGUUUCAGAGAUUUUUGUAGUUCGUUCCAGUCAUUGGCAGCAGAGAACUGGAAGGAGAGGCGACCAAAGGAGGAAUUGGCUUUGGGGGUGACCAGAGAGAUAUACCUGCUGGAGCGUGUGCUACAGAGGAGGCGGCUCCGGUUCGGCUGGUAACCCCUGCGCCGCCCGCUGAUCCCUCUGCUUCUGUGCCACCGGACCGUGGAUCGUCGUCGUCGGAACCAGACUGCAGAUCAUCGCCUGAGGCUCUGUACUGCCGGAGGUUCUGGGCUGCGGGCCGCCGCCGGUCAGAACAUGACAGGUAGAAUGACAAGAGCCAAGACUGCCUGUGAAUGUACUGUUCGGAUGUGAGAGGAACCUGUCUGACAUCUCCUCAAAGUCCCCAUCACAGUGUGCCUCCUCUGUACAAUCCAGACGACUCCCAGUUACAGCUAGCUCGGACAGAACUGAAGGAGCAAUACGACAUGGGGACAGUUUUCAAACCAUUUGAAGAUGGUGAUCUGGUUUUCAUGAAAGAUAUAUCCAAGCUGCACUGUAAACUAGCCCCACAUUGGAAGGGCCCAUGCAAAAUCCUUCAUUGGUUUGACACAGAUGGACAGCCUGGUGUCACAUAUAGGGUACUGGACUUGAAAUCACCUCAAAUUACCCCAAAAGAUAUCCAUCACAAUAGAUUGAAACAACUCUAUGGUGACAUUGCAGAGCAUCUCACACCUCCCGUAGGCAGCCACAAGAGUCAGCAAGGUUCUGUACCUUCCCAUACCCCCCACUCACUGCCCUCUCAGGAGCAUUACCAUUCCGUUACCCACUAUCUCAUGUACAUCGUUUGAGACAGGCAACCCCACUGUUAGCUACUCAUGUGAGAGUUCAAGCACUCCCCCAGGGUUCCCCCAGGGCACCGGACCUUGCCCCUGUGUCCCCUGAAACUCCUGCCCGUUCCCCUUUGCAUCAGGCUGCAACGCUUGUGGAUAUUGCUCAGGACAGUCUGUGCAGAGCCACUGUUGCUGCACCUUACACGACCCGUAGGGGCCGGAAUAUACCGAAGCCCCGAGGGCUCAUAGACUAUGACUGCUUAAUGACAAAAGGGGGGGAAAUGAAAUAAAAAUAAAACUACCUACGGUAAAAUAUAAAUAUAUCUCCCUGUCUGGUCACAAAAAAAGGGAAAGGGGUGUGAAAAACAUCUCUAUUCUGUUGGUCUGAAUUAUCUGAAAGUGUUCUGUUUUGACAUAUUCUAGUCACAGUCUGGUGACAAUGUGGAUUACUCUCAUGUUUUAUCCUCUAACAACUAACUGUGCUAAGGUAACAUGUUCUUCUCAUGCUUUACGGUCUUUUUACUUCUACAUUUAUAAGUAACUGUAAAACGGGGAUGUUUCUUUUUUGAGCAGGGAUGGUAUAUACUGUAGAAAGUGAUGUACUGUUAAUGACUCCUUGCCAGGAGAGGGCAGAAUCACCCUAUGGAAUACUUACUGGGUUUCAUGCAUAUUCCCGGGUUGUCUUUGAACUAGCCUUUCAAUGUAUGACAUGUUCUAUGUGGAACUAGC